rnacentral:lncRNA from 1 species
CCACUGCAGCAGAGCUGUGGCCACCAGAAGAAGGACCUGAGCAGCCUCCUGCUGAUAUAACCUCAAUUUCCCACCAAGCCUGAGCAUUUCUGACAGCUGAAAGCAUUUACCAGCGGACUGCUGAGCACAUCAAGAUGGAUACAGUUCUCUUGCUGUUUGGAUUGGGAGGUCCCUGUGCAGAGUUAUUCAGCACUGCCGUUUGUUGUGUAACACCAGUGGGUUCUGUGAUACCGGAGUUCUGCUGGUUCAAAGGAGAUGGCCCUGUGGAGCAUCUUUUUGAUGUCAUGGCUUUUGCUAGAGGCUUUUGUUUAAAGCUUCCCACACACUGUCUGCUCUCUCUCCUGCUCUCCCUCCCGCUCACAUGUGGGAAACAGCAGAGUAAUUUGCAAUAUAAAUUACAAAAUCAACUGUUGAGUUUACAGAUUGAAUAUGCAUGAAAAUAUUGCAUGGUGUUACUGUCUUCCUCAGCCUAAUAAAGGUAAAUAUGUCUGAAAUGUGUA